CCUUGGAGCUGAGCUGAGAGAACUGAAUCUCCCCAGAGCCUCAAACCUGGUUUAUAAAUGGAAACUACCAAUGACAGAAGAAAGUUUUGUCCAGUUCCUCUUCAAACUUGAAGACAGCCACCGGCAGCCCUGCGAUCCUCUCCUCUGCAGACAACCAUCCUUCCCUCUUCUCGCACAGUCCCUGGCCGCAUCCUGGUCAGGGAAUGUUCCCGCCCGAGGCGGUGCCCAGUCCUCCACCCAGCACUCCAGGUGUAUUCCAGCCAAAGAUCCUGUGACCUUACGCGAUCAUUCCCUGAACUUGAUUUGCUAUUCAUACAGCCCAGUGUUGCCCCAGGUCUCAGCUGCCACACUGCGUUGUAAGAAGGAGGCUCAGAGCAGCUGGUGGACUAUGGAGAAGUCUUAGAGAUAGAUAUACGAACUGGAUGCAGAAGAUGGAAAGCCCGUGCUCCUGAGAAGAGGAAGGGAGGAUUCUAGCAUGAGGGAGGAGCUCUAAGAAAGAAAACAAGUAGUCUCCUGUCUUCAACAAAGUGAUGCAAAACCUUGUAAAGAGGCAGGAUGUCACUCAACAGAGACCGUGACUGUAAGCCCUCCAGGGGUCUAAAGGCAUCUUGGGGAGGACGUUGCCGAGAUGAAGCCUCUGGAAUUGAAAACUUCUGGUUAGGGAAUACAGAUGCUAACAGGUUAUAAGAAGCUAACCGAGCUGCUCUGGGAUGCAAAGAAAGAGGUGAUUGCCCUGUGCCUUUCCCACAUCAUUUGCUAUGUUUUGAAUAACUUCACAUUGCUGAAGAGAACACUGUAUG